GACGAACGCUGGCGGCGUGCUUAACACAUGCAAGUCGAACGGAAAGGCCCUGCUUUUGUGGGGUGCUCGAGUGGCGAACGGGUGAGUAACACGUGAGUAACCUGCCCUUGACUUUGGGAUAACUUCAGGAAACUGGGGCUAAUACCGGAUAGGAGCUCCUGCUGCAUGGUGGGGGUUGGAAAGUUUCGGCGGUUGGGGAUGGACUCGCGGCUUAUCAGCUUGUUGGUGGGGUAGUGGCUUACCAAGGCCUUGACGGGUAGCCGGCCUGAGAGGGUGACCGGCCACAUUGGGACUGAGAUACGGCCCAGACUCCUACGGGAGGCAGCAGUGGGGAAUAUUGCACAAUGGGCGGAAGCCUGAUGCAGCAACGCCGCGUGCGGGAUGACGGCCUUCGGGUUGUAAACCGCUUUCGCCUGUGACGAAGCGUGAGUGACGGUAAUGGGUAAAGAAGCACCGGCUAACUACG
rnacentral:rRNA from 1 species